GACGAACGCUGGCGGCGUGCUUAACACAUGCAAGUCGAACGGAAAGGCCCUGCUUGCAGGGUGCUCGAGUGGCGAACGGGUGAGUAACACGUGGGUGAUCUGCCCCUUACUUUGGGGUAAGCCUGGGAAACUGGGUCUAAUACUGGAUAGGACCAUGCUGUAGGUGGUGUGGUGGAAAGAUUAGUUUCGGUAAGGGAUGAGCUCGCGGCCUAUCAGCUUGUUGGUGGGGUAAUGGCCUACCAAGGCGUCGACGGGUAGCCGGCCUGAGAGGGUGGACGGCCACAUUGGGACUGGGGUACGGCCCAGAAUCCUACGGGAGGCAGCAGUGGGGAAUAUUGCACAAUGGGCGCAAGCCGGAUGCAGCGACGCCGCGUGGGGGAUGACGGCCUUCGGGUUGUAAACUCCUUUCAGCCAUGACGAAGCCCUUGUGGUGACGGUAGUGGUAGAAGAAGCACCGGCUAACUACGUG
rnacentral:rRNA from 1 species